rnacentral:rRNA from 1 species
CACGUAGGGCGCAAGCGUUGUCCGGAAUUAUUGGGCGUAAAGAGCUCGUAGGCGGUUUGUCGCGUCUGCUGUGAAAACUGGAGGCUCAACCUCCAGCCUGCAGUGGGUACGGGCAGACUAGAGUGCGGUAGGGGAGAUUGGAAUUCCUGGUGUAGCGGUGGAAUGCGCAGAGUAUCAGGAGGAACACCGAUGGCGAAGGCAGAUCUCUGGGCCGUAACUGACGCUGAGGAGCGAAAGCAUGGGGAGCGAACAGG